GGGGAUUUAGCUCAGUGGUAGAGCGCUUGCCUAGCAAGCGUAAGGCUCUGGGUUCGGUCCCAGCUCCG
rnacentral:tRNA from 1 species